rnacentral:rRNA from 1 species
CUACGGGUCGCUGCAGUGGGGAAUAUUGGACAAUGGGGGCAACCCUGAUCCAGCCAUGCCGCGUGAGUGAUGAAGGCCUUCGGGUUGUAAAGCUCUUUUGGCGGGGACGAUGAUGACGGUACCCGCAGAAUAAGCCCCGGCUAACUUCGUGCCAGCAGCCGCGGUAAGACGAAGGGGGCUAGCGUUGUUCGGAAUUACUGGGCGUAAAGCGAGUGUAGGUGGUUGUCCAAGUUGGAUGUGAAAGCCUUGAGCUCAACUCAAGAAAUGCAUUCAGGACUGGAUGACUAGAGGACCGGAGAGGAUAGUGGAAUUCCCAGUGUAGUGGUGAAAUACGUAGAGAUUGGGAAGAACACCAGUGGCGAAGGCGGCUAUCUGGACGGUUUCUGACACUAAGACUCGAAAGCGUGGGGAGCAAACAGGAUUAGAUACCCUGGUAGUC